GCCAUUCUUCACCACCAUCCCAGUGCCGAUCCAACCGAGGGAGGAAGCUCCAGCUCUCCCUCUCCACCUCUCUUUCGUCGCCGGCCGCCAAGAAGAGGGACAUCGCCAACCGUCGUCGAGCCCUCUUCAUCUCUAACUCAUACUCGUUCCAUUCUCAUCUCACCAUGACGAACAACUUUGGUUUUGAUCCCAUUCCAUUUCAUCUUCUACAGCAGCGGGAACGCCGCCAUGUCAUGGUCGCUCUAGAGCGCGCUCUGUGCACCGCCGCAGCGACAUCAUCGCCGUUCCCGCUUAUCUGGACCAAGCCGGGCCAAGCUGUCGCGCCAGCGUCUUCGCCUCGACCUCCUCUCCAUUUCCCCUCAAUAAUCUCGAAGGAUGGUGCUACGAGUGUGGAGAUCGUCCACCGUCUUCUCCACCUCCGGUCACCGUCGCCGUUGCCGAAUCCACCCCCUCCGUUCUUGGAGCUGAUUGAGCCAUCGCCGUUCACCCGGAGGUUCUUGCCGCCGCCGAGCCGUUACACGAGCCACCGUCAUAAACCUAGCUACCCCAGCCAUGUCUACCAUCUCGGUGAGCACCCUUCAGCCUAUAGAACAUACAUGCAUGCACCCAAUUAACCAAUACAUGAUUGUAGAAGCACAUGCAUCACCACCCGAAAACAUCCUCCUUUCGGACUCGCCGCCGGCGUUACUCCGAUGUCCACUGACCGAGAAAAGUAGAGGAAUGGAAUCGCAAUAGCAUGAUCUUCAUUUUGUCUUUUGGUCGCACCCUCAAACGAGCCAUCGUUUGUCGCCGGUGAGCUCGAGAUUGAGCUCAGCCAUGGCUGUUCUGCCUCUCUGCGUGAGAAAAGAAGUCAGGGACCUUGUUUCGAGAAUUUAAACAACUAUAAGGUUUAAUGUGCAACUUUUCAACUCACUGACAUAUGAGCCUAGGUCUGCGGGUUGAUUCUUAGAAACCUCAGGGAUCUUUUUGUAUAUUGAUCUUUCACUGACAGUGGACCCCUUGGAAACAAAAAUCUGAAAUUAUAAAAGGAAAGUACCUAAAACUUGUAAAAUCCAUAUAAAAUUAAAUAUAGCUCAUUUUAAGAUGAUUCAAAUUUCUGUGAACUCACCAAAUUGGGAGCUUUGAUGUUAUGGAAUAAAAACUUCCACUCACAGUACAAAUUUAGCCUCUAAAAUUUAUCCAAGUUAAAUCACACAUAAAGCACGCACAAAAUUUAUAAAAUGCAUACAGAAUUCAUUUCAACUCAUUUUGGAGCAAACUCAGUUUCUACAGAUCCACCAACUUAUGUUCUCCUAUAAAGCAAAAUGAAAUAGCAUACAUACUAUACAUCAAAUGCCUCUAAAACUAUUACCUUUAAAUGACUAGUUUUAGAUAAGCUGAAUUUUAGAAGUUCAUAUAAAAUUCAUCUUAGAUCUUUUUUUAGUAAACCCAAGUUCUGUAGAAUCACCAAAACAUAUACUUCCAAAUUAUAAAAUAAAAUUAUAUACUUACUGUAUGAUAAAAGCCUCUAAAUACUUAUGUAAGUAAUAACCAUCAUAGAGCAACCUUAAAUUGUAAAAUUUGUAGAAAAUUCAUCUUUAGUCUAAAUGAAGUGAACCAAAUAUCUAUAGAACCAGCAAACAGUGGGCUUCAACAUAGUAAAAUAAAAUAUGGAACCUUCUGUACAGGUUAUAGCUCUAAACUUUAAAUUUAUAGGAUAGGUGCUAAUCACAUAGUAUCGAUUGAGCAAUAUGUAUAUAUAUAAAUGUAUAUAGAAAUACACUCUAGCUAUAAUGAAACUCAAAUAAAACUUGUUAGACCAGUGAAUGCAUAGUUCCAUUCCCAUCCACCAAAACUUAAGGCACUUAGCUCAUAUAAUAAUUUCUAGGUUGAUAUAAUAAAUUGCUAACAUGGACUAGAGCUCCCCUAGUUUAUAAAAUAUGAACCAUGAUAAUAAA